rnacentral:rRNA from 1 species
UGAACUGCGGAAGGAUCAUUAGUGAACGCCCUCACGGGCUUAUAACUAUUCCAAACCUCUGUGAACCGUGCCCUUCGGGGCUAUUUUACAAACAUGGUGUAAUGAACGUCAUAUAUCAUAACAAAACAAAACUUUCAACAACGGAUCUCUUGGCUCUCGCAUCGAUGAAGAACGCAGCGAAAUGCGAUAAGUAAUGUGAAUUGCAGAAUUCAGUGAAUCAUCGAAUCUUUGAACGCACCUUGCGCCCUCUGGUAUUCCGGAGGGCAUGCCUGUUUGAGUGUCAUGUAGACUCAAUCCCUCGGGUUUCCGAGGAGAUUGGACUUGGGUGUUGCCGCUCUGCCGGCUCGCCUUAAAAGACUUAGCGGGAUAGCACCGUAGUCGGCGUAAUAAGUUUCGUCGGUGAAGGUUGUGAUGACUGCUUACAAUCGCCCUCGGGCAAUUUUUGACUCUGACCUCAAAUCAGGUAGGACUACCCGCUGAACUUAAGCAUAUCAAUAAGCGGAGGAAAAGAAACUAACAAGGAUUCCCUUAGUAGCGGCGAGCGAAGCGGGAAGAGCUCAAAUUUGAAAGCUGGCGUCCUACGGGCGUCCGCAUUGUAAUCUAUAGAGGCGUUUUCUGUGCUGGACCGUGUCCAAGUCCCUUGGAACAGGGUAUCAAAGAGGGUGACAAUCCCGUACUUGACACGACAACCAGUGCUCUGUGAUACGUCUUCUACGAGUCGAGUUGUUUGGGAAUGCAGCUCAAAAUGGGUGGUGAAUUCCAUCUAAAGCUAAAUAUUG